AUUUGAUCAAAAGAGUUACUCGCAUUUUAGCGCUUACGAUCUUUUGAGAAGUUUUACAUAUAUCGGUUAGAUAUAUACACGGUAUUUGUUUGGCGAGAAGAGAUAUCAUCUCAUCUGGUAUCGAUGCAGAAUUCCUGGUGCUGCGCCAUUCCUUAUUUCCUUAUCAACCACAUAUCAGAAUUCUGGAUAAUAAUUCAGAUUACUGGCUGUAUAUUCAAUCGAAUUUUGGGGUCUUGAGUUGGUGGGGUGUAACGUGUUUCAGACCAGAAUCCUGCCGGACCAUCCAAUUGCAAGGAC